rnacentral:rRNA from 1 species
GUUAUAGGGUCAAGCGAAUAAGUGCAUGUGGUGGAUGCCUUGGCGAUCACAGGCGAUGAAGGACGUAGUAGCUUGCGAAAAGCUGCGGGGAGCUGGCAAACGAGCUUUGAUCCGCAGAUGUCCGAAUGGGGAAACCCGGCCCGUAUGGGUCAUCCCUUGCUGAAUACAUAGGCAAGGGAGGCGAACGCAGUGAACUGAAACAUCUAAGUAGCUGCAGGAAAAGAAAUCAACCGAGAUUCCCAAAGUAGUGGCGAGCGAAAUGGGAACAGCCUUGUACUCUUUAGCAGUAUUGUUAGCGGAACGGAAUGGAAAGUCCGGCCAUAGUGGGUGAUAGCCCCGUACGCGAAAACAGUAUUGUGGAACUAGGUGUACGACAAGUAGGGCGGGACACGUGAAAUCCUGUCUGAAGAUGGGGGGACCAUCCUCCAAGGCUAAAUACUCGUGAUCGACCGAUAGUGAACCAGUACCGUGAGGGAAAGGCGAAAAGAACCCCGGGAGGGGAGUGAAAUAGAUCCUGAAACCGCAUGCAUACAAACAGUCGGAGCCUGGAAACGGGUGACGGCGUACCUUUUGUAUAAUGGGUCAGCGACUUACAUUCAGUGGCAAGCUUAACCGAUUAGGGAAGGCGUAGCGAAAGCGAGUCCGAAUAGGGCGUUCAGUCGCUGGGUGUAGACCCGAAACCAAGUGAUCUAUCCAUGGCCAGGUUGAAGGUGCGGUAACACGUACUGGAGGACCGAACCCACUAACGUUGAAAAGUUAGGGGAUGAGCUGUGGAUAGGGGUGAAAGGCUAAACAAACUUGGAAAUAGCUGGUUCUCUCCGAAAACUAUUUAGGUAGUGCCUCGUGUCUCACCUUCGGGGGUAGAGCACUGUCAUGGUUGGGGGGUCUAUUGCUGAUUACCCCGCCAUAGCAAACUCCGAAUACCGAAGAGUGCAAUCACGGGAGACAGACAUCGGGUGCUAACGUCCGGUGUCAAGAGGGAAACAACCCAGACCGCCAGCUAAGGUCCCUAAGAUUGGCUAAGUGGGAAACGAAGUGGGAAGGCUAAAACAGUCAGGAGGUUGGCUUAGAAGCAGCCACCCUUUAAAGAAAGCGUAAUAGCUCACUGAUCGAGUCGUCCUGCGCGGAAGAUGUAACGGGGCUAAGCCAGUCACCGAAGCUGCGGAUGCACGUAAGUGCAUGGUAGGAGAGCGUUCUGUAAGCCUGUGAAGGUGUCUUGUAAAGGAUGCUGGAGGUAUCAGAAGUGCGAAUGCUGACAUGAGUAGCGAUAAAGGGGGUGAAAGGCCCCCUCGCCGUAAGCCCAAGGUUUCCUACGCAACGUUCAUCGGCGUAGGGUGAGUCGGCCCCUAAGGCGAGGCAGAGAUGCGUAGCUGAUGGGAAGCAGGUUAAUAUUCCUGCACCGUCGUAUGAUGCGAUGGGGGGACGGAUCGCGGAAGGUUGUCCGGGUGUUGGAAGUCCCGGUCCCUACAUUGGAGAUGGCACUUAGGCAAAUCCGGGUGCGUGAUUCAAGGGUGUGGGGCGAGCGACGUUAGGUCGCGAAGCAAUUGGAAGUGGUUCCAAGAAAAGCCUCUAAGCUUCAGUCAUACGAGACCGUACCGCAAACCGACACAGGUGGGCGAGAUGAGUAUUCUAAGGCGCUUGAGAGAACUCGGGAGAAGGAACUCGGCAAAUUGGUACCGUAACUUCGGGAUAAGGUACGCCCUUGUAGUUUGACUGGCUCGCGCCAGAAGGAUGAAGGGGUUGCAAUAAAAUGGUGGCUGCGACUGUUUAAUAAAAACACAGCACUCUGCAAACACGAAAGUGGACGUAUAGGGUGUGACGCCUGCCCGGUGCCGGAAGAUUAAAUGAUGGGGUGCAAGCUCUUGAUUGAAGUCCCGGUAAACGGCGGCCGUAACUAUAACGGUCCUAAGGUAGCGAAAUUCCUUGUCGGGUAAGUUCCGACCUGCACGAAUGGCGUAACGAUGGCCACACUGUCUCCUCCCGAGACUCAGCGAAGUUGAAGUGUUUGUGAUGAUGCAAUCUCCCCGCGGCUAGACGGAAAGACCCCAUGAACCUUUACUGUAGCUUUGCAUUGGACUUUGAACCGAUCUGUGUAGGAUAGGUGGGAGGCUUUGAAACCGGGACGCUAGUUUCGGUGGAGCCGACCUUGAAAUACCACCCUGGUUUGUUUGAGGUUCUAACCUUGGCCCGUGAAUCCGGGUCGGGGACAGUGCAUGGUAGGCAGUUUGACUGGGGCGGUCUCCUCCCAAAGUGUAACGGAGGAGUUCGAAGGUACGCUUGGUACGGUCGGACAUCGUACCUAAAGUGCAAUGGCAAAAGCGUGCUUAACUGCGAGACCGACAAGUCGAGCAGGUGCGAAAGCAGGACAUAGUGAUCCGGUGGUUCUGUAUGGAAGGGCCAUCGCUCAACGGAUAAAAGGUACUCUGGGGAUAACAGGCUGAUACCGCCCAAGAGUUCAUAUCGACGGCGGUGUUUGGCACCUCGAUGUCGGCUCAUCUCAUCCUGGGGCUGUAGCCGGUCCCAAGGGUAUGGCUGUUCGCCAUUUAAAGAGGUACGUGAGCUGGGUUUAAAACGUCGUGAGACAGUUUGGUCCCUAUCUGCCGUGGGCGUUGGAAUCUUGACGGGGGCUGCUCCUAGUACGAGAGGACCGGAGUGGACGUACCGCUGGUGUACCUGUUGUCUCGCCAGAGGCAUCGCAGGGUAGCUAUGUACGGAAGAGAUAACCGCUGAAAGCAUCUAAGCGGGAAACUCGCCUGAAGAUGAGGAUUCCCUGGAGACUUGAUCUCCCUGAAGGGUCGUUCGAGACCAGGACGUUGAUAGGCUGGGUGUGGAAGCGCAGUAAUG